UUUAAUUCUUGGGUUCGCUGGUGUGUUGGCUCCUUUCCACCAGGAGAACAAUGGACUUUGUAGUUUAUGUAUGCUGAUCAGUAUUUCACCCACUGCUACUCCCGUCUUGUUGGCCAAGCUGUUGACCUCAUCUAUGUUUAUACAUCUGUUCCAGUUCCUCGGAGAUCACAGGUGACCCUCCAGCCAUGAGGUUCCGUAAUCUGUUGAUCGUUGCCAUUUUGGGCGCCUUUCUAGUCUCUUUAGGAGCCGGUUUGAACUUAUUCGCCAGGCGCUGCCGGCGGAGAGCAGGAAAAUGUCGAGGCAAUCGGUGCUUCUACAAUGAAAUUGAGAUCAGCACGUGCUACCACACGAAAAUAAAAUGUUGCCGGGAGAAAGAUUGAGAGGCGCCGGCGCCGAGACUGUUACGGAUGACCUGAGAACCUGGGCGAGAGUGUCCCGAGAGAACCGACGUCUCUGAGUCUGCAUGCUCUUUUUAGGAAAGUGGAUUCUUCCAGCUCAACAAUUCCACUGUGAAAUGGAGAGGAAAUCAGGACCGCUGCGUGGCGCAUUUACGCAUCCUCUGCCAUUGUCUUUCAUUCCUCUUCUUCCUUUUAAAGCACUCGCAGCCUUUCCAACCCCUGCUGUCAAAUUGUAGCACCAAUCCCUCAUUGCAAAAACAAAUCAUAGAUUUAUACAAUAAAUAAAUGAUUCUUUUUUAUAAUAA